rnacentral:rRNA from 2 species
UACGUAGGGUGCAAGCGUUGUCCGGAUUUAUUGGGCGUAAAGAGCUCGUAGGCGGUCUGUCGCGUCGGAUGUGAAAACCCAGGGCUCAACCCUGGGCCUGCAUUCGAUACGGGCAGACUAGAGUACGGCAGGGGAGACUGGAAUUCCUGGUGUAGCGGUGAAAUGCGCAGAUAUCAGGAGGAACACCGGUGGCGAAGGCGGGUCUCUGGGCCGAAACUGACGCUGAGGAGCGAAAGCGUGGGGAGCGAACAGG